GGCCUCGUAGCUCAGCUGGUAGAGCGUGCGCUGUACAAAAGCCUAGGUGGCGUCCAUGCGUGGGUUCGAAUCCCACCGAGGCUA
rnacentral:tRNA from 1 species